AGUGAACGCUGGCGGUAGGCCUAACACAUGCAAGUCGAACGGCAGCACAGUAAGAGCUUGCUCUUACGGGUGGCGAGUGGCGGACGGGUGAGGAAUACAUCGGAAUCUACUUUUUCGUGGGGGAUAACGUAGGGAAACUUACGCUAAUACCGCAUACGACCUACGGGUGAAAGCAGGGGAUCUUCGGACCUUGCGCGAUUGAAUGAGCCGAUGUCGGAUUAGCUAGUUGGCGGGGUAAAGGCCCACCAAGGCGACGAUCCGUAGCUGGUCUGAGAGGAUGAUCAGCCACACUGGAACUUAGACACGGUCCAGACUCCUACGGGAGGCAGCAGUGGGGAAUAUUGGACAAUGGGCGCAAGCCUGAUCCAGCCAUACCGCGUGGGUGAAGAAGGCCUUCGGGUUGUAAAGCCCUUUUGUUGGGAAAGAAAAGCAGCAAGUUAAUACCCCGCUGUUCUGACGGUACCCAAAGAAUAAGCACCGGCUAACUUCGUG
rnacentral:rRNA from 1 species